UACGGAGGGUGCGAGCGUUGUCCGGAAUCACUGGGCGUAAAGGGCGCGUAGGCGGCCUGAUAAGUAGGGGGUGAAAUCCUGCGGCUUAACCGCAGGGCUGCCUUCUAAACUGUCAGGCUUGAGCACAGUAGAGGCAGGUGGAAUUCCCGGUGUAGCGGUGGAAUGCGUAGAGAUCGGGAAGAACAUCAGUGGCGAAGGCGGCCUGCUGGGCUAUUGCUGACGCUGAGGCGCGACAGCGUGGGGAGCAAACAGG
rnacentral:rRNA from 1 species